GGAUGAGGGUACAGAGAAUCCCUGAGCAGAAUCCUGGGUGUUUGUUUCUUUCCUGUGGUCCUGCCCUGCCCAGGCCUCUGAGAAAUGCAGAGCCUUUCCUCUCCCCAUCCCUCCCUCUCCCUCAGAGGUGAUUUUGAAAGGUCUCAGCUUCUUAUGCAUACCCCUUGGGGUCAGGAGAUGAGGAUGUCAAGACUUGGAGUAGGUGACAGUUGGCCUUGGGCUUCGGUGGCCAACCCAUGACUACAAAAGCCCGAGAAGCCAGCAGCUUCCCCGGCUCCUCCACCAAGUGGCCUCUGGGUGAUGGGGAAGCUUGUCCUCUGCUUUGUCACACACAAAACUCUAAAAGUCAGCAUCCCAACGCAUCGGCCUGGAGAGCCCGUCCAGGGGAGAUGUCACAAAUUCUGCACCAGAAUCUCACAAAUCACAAAGAACUUACUCAUGUAACGAAACACCACCUGUUUCCCAGUAACUAUGGAAAUAAAAAAAAAUUAAUAAUAAAAAAUUUAAAAAAUAAAA
rnacentral:lncRNA from 10 species